rnacentral:rRNA from 1 species
AUACGGAGGGAGCAGGCGUUAUUCGGAAUCACUGGGCGUAAAGGACGCGUAGGCGGGUUUGUAAGUCAGGUGUGAAAUCCUACAGCUCAACUGUAGAACUGCACUUGAAACUACAGACCUGGAGUAUGGAAGGGGCAGAUGGAAUUAGUGGUGUAGGGGUAAAAUCCGUAGAUAUCACUAGGAAUACCGAAAGCGAAGGCGAUCUGCUGGGACAUUACUGACGCUGAGGCGUGAAAGCGUGGGGAGCAAACAGGAUUAGAAACCCCAGUAGUCC